GUUGCUGUAAAAUAUUAAUCCAAUUACUUGACAUAUAAUCCACAAUUGGAGAGUGGCAAUGACUGUGUGAUGUUUUGUUGAUAUCACAAAUGUUUUAUAUCAUUUUUAUUUUAGUCUCAGCAACAGUGAAAGUGAAUUUGCCAUUUGGAAGGCCCAGGGUGACACAGAAGAACAAAGAGCACUGUCUCCUUUACCAUAGGGAAUACAUCAGUGGAUACGGCAAAGCUAUGAAGAUGGCCAUGUGGAGCUCAUACACACUUCCCAAGCCGGGAAACACAUCACCCCUUCCUCCCACUGUCUCAGACUGUCUGCGGGCUGAUGUCAGGGUUGCUCCUUUGGAGAGCCAAAAAUGUUCCUUCUAUUUAGCAGACAAGAAUAUCACCCAUGGCUUCCUCUAUCCUCCUGGUUAGUGAAACUCUUUUUUAGAGCAACAGCUAGAAAGCCCUCAAUCAGCUG
rnacentral:lncRNA from 1 species